GAUGAACGCUAGCGGCAGGCCUAACACAUGCAAGUCGAGGGGUAACAUUGUGCUUGCACAGAUGACGACCGGCGCACGGGUGCGUAACGCGUAUGCAAUCUACCUUUUACAGUGGGAUAGCCCAGAGAAAUUUGGAUUAAUACCAUAUAGUUUAUUAGAGUGGCAUCACUUUAAUAAUAAAGAUUUAUCGGUAAAAGAUGAGCAUGCGUUCUAUUAGUUAGUUGGUGAGGUAACGGCUUACCAAGACAGCGAUAGAUAGGGGCCCUGAGAGGGGGAUCCCCCACACUGGUACUGAGACACGGACCAGACUCCUACGGGAGGCAGCAGUGAGGAAUAUUGGACAAUGGGCGAGAGCCUGAUCCAGCCAUGCCGCGUGCAGGAAGACUGCCCUAUGGGUUGUAAACUGCUUUUAUACAGGAAGAAACACUGCUACGUGUAGCAGCUUGACGGUACUGUAAGAAUAAGGAUCGGCUAACUCCGUGCCAGCAGCCGCGGUAAUACGGAGGAUCCAAGCGUUAUCCGGAAUCAUUGGGUUUAAAGGGUCCGUAGGUGGAUAAUUAAGUCAGGGGUGAAAUCUUGCAGCUCAACUGUAAAAUUGCCUUUGAUACUGGUUAUCUUGAGUUAUUAUGAAGUAGUUAGAAUAUGUAGUGUAGCGGUGAAAUGCAUAGAUAUUACAUAGAAUACCAAUUGCGAAGGCAGAUUACUAAUAAUCAACUGACACUGAUGAACCG
rnacentral:rRNA from 1 species